CUAAAACAUUGGACUCAUUCCUAUUUCUUUCGUCUUUCUAAGGCUGUGGCCCCUGCCUGGAAUGCCCUCCCUUGCCAGUGCUUAGUCAUGCCCCCCAGAGUUCCGAGUUAACUUCUUGUGUGUACAGCUUUUGCCUUCCCAGCUCAUACUCAGUGCUGGGCUGGUCCUGCAAUCUGCGUUCUUGGUUUUGAAGAGCUUCUUUAUUAGACUUACACUGUUUUUAAAGCUUCGUUAUUUGACCCUGUGGCAGAAAACUAUGGAAUCCAAGCUGUGGACCCUUUAUUCAGCCACUGUGUACCAGGAACAUGCUUACCCUAUCAGGCACACGUUCUGCCUCCAAGAAGCUGGAAGUGGGGCCACCGGGAUGGUGUUUGCCCUUCCCUGCCCUGCUGCACGUGGUAGAAACAGAAGCGUGUCAGUACAGCUGAGCCCUCCUGAUCCCUCUUGGCUGCACAGACCCGGCUCCACUUCUGUCCUUCUUUUACUGGAGAACUGAUGUCAGCCCGGCUGGAUUACAGCCCGGCGACCGUUCUGUUGCUAAUGAAUUGGCAGGGAGAACAAAACACUGCAGCGCUCCUGGAACGAUUUUGUCAUCCAUUUUUGGAGCACAAAAAACUUCGGGAUUUGGAAAAGAACAAAUGUCAUCUGAGUUGGUUUAUUUGCCUCAGGAUGUCAGGAUCCCCAGUUCACCACACCCUGAAUGUUUAUCUGAUUACAAGAACUCAUGCAAAUGACAAAAGGUUAAAGGGAAAAACUCCACCCUUGCAGCAUUUCCCUACAUGUUUCCCGCCCUCCAGGAUUGGCCGGCCGGCCUGGCUCAGGAAAAUUCUUAUAUUUACAGUCUUGUGAAUAGAGGGGCUAGGCUUGGCAGCUUCAAAAGGCUGAGGGAAUCUUGCAAAGUUGAGCUUGAAAGAGCCCUCAAGGAGCAUUAAGGCCCACAUUCUCCACUGAAGAUGAGAAACUAAAGCCAGAGAGAUGGCCUGGUGUUAUGGUUGAAUUGUGUCUCCCCAAAAUUCAUUUAUUGACAUCCUAAUGCCCAAAAUCUCAGAAUGUAACCUUAUUUGAAGACAGGGUCUUUACAAGGUAUAAGUUCAAGUUAGGUUAUCGGGGUGCGUCCUAAUUCAGUAUGACUGGCGUCCUUAGAAGAAGGAGAAAUAUGGACAGAGAGACACAUAUACAGGAAGAAUGCCAUGUGAACACGAAGACGGCCAUCUAAAGCCAAGGAGAGAGGCUGGGAACAGAGCCUCCCCUCACAGCUCUCAGAAGGAAACAGCCCUGCUAACAGUUUGAUUUCGGACUUCUCGUUUCCAGAACGGUGAGACAAUACAUUUCUGUUGUUUAAGCUCAGUUUGUGCUACUUUGUUGCAGCAGCCCUAGCAAACUAUUCCACCUGGAAUCUCGGUUCUAGAAUGGCCCAGCCAGUUGGUCUCCUGACUCCCGUGACUAAUACUCCUUGAAUCGCAUUGCCCCCUAGACUUGAGAUAGACUGUGAAAUUACUAUUUACGGAAAACGCGAGUACUUUUCAAGAGGGACAAUUGGUCUACGAAUUUGAAGAGCGGCGUCUCUGAUCUUCCAUGCUGGGAUCUGGGCGUGUAAACAGAGGCAGGAAGAUGCUGCCCGUCUACCCCCAUCUUAUUCAGUUUUAAAAGCUGCCACCGUUUAACUCACUUCCUCAGAGCCCCCAGGAAAUAGGCAUUCUCUUUUUAUACGAUUGCCUCAUUUUUAGUACUUAUUUCAAUUUCUCUAAGAAAUUCCCUGGGCAUUCUCUUUUUGUGAGGACAUUCUCUGUUUAGUAGCUAUCAUCUUCUAUUACGUCCAAAGUUGUGUUCCUUAUUUAUCAUUAAUGGUGCCUUUGGUUUCUAUCAAUUUAAUAUUAUGAAUGGGCUUGAAUUUAAUUUUUUUCUCUGUUUUUUGGCUGAGGAAGAUUAACCUUGAGCUAACAUCUGUGCCAAUCUUCCUUUAUUUUGUAUGUGGGACGCCACUACAGUGUGGCUGAUGAGUGGUGUAGGUCCGUACCCAGGACCGGAACCCGUAAAGCUGGGCCACAGAUGUGGAGCGCACUGAACUUAACCUCUAGACCAAGGAGUCAGCCCCCAUUGAAUUUCAUUUUUAUGCAGAUAAACCAUGGCACCGUAUUAGUGGAGAAACAUAUUUGAGGAAUGGAGUGAUAUGGAUAAUUUGCAAUAACUUUUCACACCGGAGUGAAAUUCUGACCUCAAGUUAAAACAAUAUCAACAACAACAAAAAAUAGCCUUCACUAUUAAGGCAGGUGCUUUUCCAAAGUGAGGUCCCCUAAAGGGGGCAUUAGGAGAUCAGGGGACUGACUGAGAACAUGAGAAGGCUCUGUUCUCCUUCAUGGCUCAGUGCUGAGGGAGGGGCAGAUAUAGAAAAGCAUUUGGACUAUCUAGGGAAAGCUUAGGGACAUCCCACAGAAAUUCCGGUGGACAGGUGAAGAGCCUGAGGACAGGCACUGAGCAGGAGUGGUGAUUAGCCAGCUGGCCCCAGAAGAACAUUCUCUGAGAAAUCUGUGCCUCUGCUGCCACCUGGAACCAUGUCAAUCAGACCGGCCUAUGCUGCCAGGGACUGACCACUACACUGGCUUUAUGAUGUGGCUUACAUAAACCCCUGUGUCACAGAAAGGGUGUAUCCAUGUGGGUUUAUGAUCAGUGGCUCCUAGAGUUUAGGAUUUCAUGACCCUUCCCCCAAUAAAAGAGGGGCACUGACAAAUGGUUGGUAGCUUUUAAUUCUGUCAAAUAAUAAUAGUAUAUAAAAAAUAGUACCCACAUUAUUUCAUAAAAAUAUGAAUAUUUUAACAAUUUUUUAAAUUAAAAAGACAAAUCCUAAGAACAAUGACAGUCUUUCCAUCAAAUGACAUUUGGUGAUCCUGAAAUGACAUUUUUUUUUGAAAAAAGGAUAUAUUUGUAAGUUUUUUCAAAUGGAAAAAUCACAACAUAAUGUUUUAUUUAUCACUGCCGCCUCUGGUACAGUUCCUGCUACUUGAGCCUGGACCCUGUCCCUGUGGUCCUGGGCUCUGUGGGGAGUUCUCUUAGCAACCCCAGCACCCUCACUGCUUCAGGGGACGGUGUCAGGGACGAUAGGGAGUCCCUGCCCUAAGAUGCAUCCCCUCCUUUUUGUAGCUCCCUUGUUUCUACCAAAACAGAUGCCCUUCCCCAAAGAGUCUUUGUAUCUCUUUACAGAGUGAAGAAUUAAAACUCGUUAUUACUUCCUGAUAGCUCCUUAAAAUGCUUUGUUAGCCGGUAUAAAUUAUCAAAAGGAUAUGUCAUCCCCCGCUACAAAGGUGAUGCCCCUCCUGUCUUCUGUUGGGUUCUCCCAGAAGCAGGUUCUGAGACAAGCCCAUUCUGAAUGCAAAUAGGUUAUUCAGAAGGGGAUCUCACUAGAGGAAUGGGGAUGUGAGACAGGGAAGGAAAGGCAGCCCACAGAGAGGAAGGAUUAAUGAGCCCAUUAUCACUGGGGCAGCUGGGAGACCCCUGGGAAACUGCAGAGUACCCCUUAGAGUGUUGUACCAUAAUUCCCAUCUGUUACUGGUUGAAUUCUGCUCCUGAGGGCAUGGAUUUCCCAGCACUUGCCACCUGCCCUGUGCUCAAGCCACGUGAGCUCCCACAGCCAGAGCCAGUCUUCAGGCAGAGUCACAGACGCCAUCUGCUUUUAUAACAGGGAGUGCUAGCGGAUGUAGGUGGGGCACCCAAGGCAUCACUAUACCCACUUUUGCAACCUUUGAACUCUUGAGACGAAUACACAAGUUGUAUCACUGGUCAUAUCUCUGACACUGACUGAAUACAGGGUCAUAUCACUGACUCUGACUUUCGAUAUAGAAAGUAGGAAGUUCUAUGACUCACUUUUGCCCUUAAAGGAAAAAGAAAAAGACCUUCUUCCGCAAAGAGCUGCAGCCCACUUUUCCAUGAGUCGCCAGACCAUCCCCAAUAAUCCUCGUCUCACACCCAUAGGGGAGACCACUGAUAGACAUCACGGUGAUAAAAUGCAUACGUUCAGGACAAAAAUCUCUCACCACUACCACAGGACUUUAACUAACAAUGAUCUAGACCAGAGAUGGCAAACUGAUUCCUCCCGUGUGCCGACUCUGAUCAGUCAAUUGUACUGUGUUGAGAAGAAUUCUGAAGCGUGGGGAGAAAGAGAGGGUUGGGUAUGGAUUAGAGCAGUUAGGUACCAAUCCAUAAGAGGGGCCAAAAAAAAAAAAAGAAGAAGAAAUCACUGGAAAACUUCAAAACUCCAAACAUAAUGAGGUGGAGAAAUCUGUAUUUUCAAGAUCCGUUCAGGAACAUACUACAUGUGUAUAUAUAUACGAUUGGAAGGAAUAUUUUUAUAAGGUCCUCGGGAGUAGCGGAUGAGGAACACAAUGAAACUGCAGCAUGCUCUAGUCACAUCUUCGGUCUGUCUGUUGUGGGUAGGGCGGACAGUCUAGGUUCUACUGUCAACAUAGAAGGUAAAAACCACUGUAGGCAAAAUUACAUUUAAAAGUCUCUUAAAAUGUCCUAAUGUCUCUAGUAUCUGGGCUCUCAGAAGCUGAAAAGCCGGGAUAGUUAAAUCCCCAAGUGCACAUAUGUUGCAACUCUACUGUAAUAAUAGGUGGUCACCAACCAGCCUUCUCAGGUGGCCACAGGGGCAGGUCUGGUCGGCUGUAGGCCCUUUAUUUUUCCGAGUGGAUUGUGUGAAAUGGUGGCUGCCUGUAGCUGCCCUCCUUACUCUCCCCACGCCUACUGCUCUGCUCUCCUUCUCAUGUUAAAUAUUCACAAAGUGAAAGUUAGGUUUCUACCUCACACAAUACAUGAAAGCCAAUUUCAGACAGAUUAAUGAGCUAAAUGUAAAAGACCAAAAUCAUUUUGAAAACUUAGAUCAAAUGAAAAGUUUGAUAAUAUCUAGAGUUGGCAAGGAUGUGCAGUCACAGGUUUAAUUUUAUCAGAGGGCUAUUGCUACUAAAACUGUCACUUCAUUUCUGGUUAUCUAUCCUGUAAGCAUACUCAUAUAGUGAACUAAGAUAGCCGUACAAGGUUAUUCAUUGCAGCAUUGUUUACAAUAGUGAAAAACUGGAAAUAACCAAAAUACUCCUCAAAGAAAAAGGGCUGCAUAAAUUAAGAUACAUCCUUAUAGAGUGAUACACAGCUUUUGAAAAGAAUAAGGUAAGGGCUGGCCUGGUGGUGUAGCGGUUAAGUUUGUGGUGCUCUGCUUCUGUGGCUAGGGGUUCCCUGGGUUGGAUCCUGGGUGUGGACCUACCCACCACUCAUCAAGCCAUGCUGUGGCAGCAUCCCACAGAGAAGAACUAGAAGACUUACAAGUAGGAUAUACAGUAUGUACUGGGGCUUCAGGGAGGGAAAAAAAAAAGGAAGAUUGGCAACAGAUGUUAGCUCAGGGCCAAUCUUCCUCACCAAAAAAAAAAAGGCAUAUCUUUAAAAAACAAACAAAAGAAUAAGGUAAAUUUAUACAUAUUGACAUGGAAAUAGAUACGUCACAACUUAUUUGAAUUCAAUUUUUUCAUUUGUAAGAUGGGGAGGUUGAACUAAAGAUCCUCGAAGAUUUCUUUUAACUUCGUUCUACGAAAAGAGAAGUCUGUCACAUAGCUCAGGGAUUUUGUGCUCUUAAAAAAUACAAUUUUCCUUUUUCAUUGUUUCUCUUGGGAAAAUCUAAAAUUCACAAAGCCGGCGACUCCCUCUCCACUUUUUCUCCUUUCUCAAGAUUAAAUCUGCUUUCUUUCUCAAUUUAGGUGAUCAAAACAUUUUGGAACCUAAAAGUAAAUAAGGAAACUCUGAAGGUAAAUAUGUCCAAACAGCUUUACUAAGAAAAAAACCUGAAUGUAUGGGUUUCAAAGACAAUAUACUCCAGAGCCAGCAACUAAAGGGACCACUCUCUAAACCCCUGAACAGUGCUGAUGAAAUUCCUCAACAGUGAUCUGCUCAGCUGGAAGAUCGCUGUGUUUGUGUCCGGAAAGAGAGGCCUAAGAAGUGGCUCCUCAUAAUCCAUGACUGGGGCGUCCUGGAGAAAGUUGGUUCUGAUUAGAGGGGAUUUCAAAUUUACAUGUGGCGAAAAACAAUCUCCUAGGAACUGAUAAGUGCAAAGGACUUCAUUUUAAACAAACAGGAAAGAUAAGGAAGCAGAAGUUUCAUUUCCAUUUUGACUAGACUUACACAACCACGUGAGAACCCAGAGUUCCUUUGUUGCAUAAGUGGCAAAUCUGUUUAACCUUUCUGGGCGCCCAGCUUCUCCAUAUGGAAAGCAGGUAUGGAAGUUUUGACUCAUCUUUCAGGGUCACUUUUGAACAAAAGGCGAAUAGUAGAAAAGCCUUCUGAAAACAAAAGAGAACACAUCAAUCACUGAGGGAAAACCAGGACAUGACAAUAUAAAUGAUCCGCUGCCUAAGAAAGUCCUGAAUCCAAUACAGACGAUCAUCUCAGUUCUUUUUUACGGCCAGAGAGGCCUCUGAAGCUCAUUAGUGUCUGGAAUUACUUCAUACACUGGGCUGGAAAUUUCAAAGGAAAAUUUCAAGAAAUUUUAAAGGAACCUUCCAAAUCCACUAGCUGGUUUGCUCUUUGCUGGAUGUUAACUGGACCAUUUACUUUUUAAAAUCAGGCUAAAUUUUGCCCUGGCUGAGCCAAAUUCUGCCUCUAUCGCUGGGCAAUUCUUGCUGUCGUGAAUGUAGCUCUGUGUGUGGACGGGAGAAGAGAAUAUGGCCAUUGUCCUACUAGAUGCAAAUUAUGGCCCUGAUUCAACAAAAAAAUCUCUGUCCUCCAUGCAUGGAAAAUACAAAGAGACUGAAGCCAGACUGAUAUUUUGUGACAUGGCAUCCUGCUCCUGAAGAAAUUCAUGUUGUGGUUUGUGAUUAGGAAGCCAAAAAAAAAAGAGAUUCUGAAACUGACAUGAUUUGUAAUUUUUCUCAGUUUCAAGGCCCGUGCUAAUGAUAAAAACCUCUAUUAAAAUUACUCAGAGAGCAUAAACUGAUGGCUUUUUGAGAGAGAGAAAAGAUUUUGAAAGAAGAAAUUUUUAUUUGUAUUACGUGGCUGUACAUGACAAAGUUGAUGCUUCAUUCCAUCAUUCUCUCUGGACCUUGGGGAAACCAAUACCCAAUAAAAAGCAGUAUCAAUAAUAAAAGUAAUUUCAUAAUAAUCUGUAGUCAAUGACGAUUCUUUCAUUGAAGGUUUAGAUGACUCAGUUAAAGUGUUGGUGGACCAAUGUAGAUGGCACCUUUCAAAUUAAUAAAAUAUAUUUGAUCUCUACCUACUUCUAUUAGCAUAAUACUUAAUCUGUUAUAGUUUUCAAUUCUUUGUACUCCUACCCUUCUCCCAACAUUUUAGUGGCAGUGAGUAACAAAACAACAUUUUGUUAUGU
ensembl:lncRNA